GACGAACGCUGGCGACGUGCUUAACACAUGCAAGUCGAACGGAAAGGCCCUUCGGGGUACUCGAGUGGCGAACGGGUGAGUAACACGUGGGUGAUCUGCCCUGCACUUUGGGAUAAGCCUGGGAAACUGGGUCUAAUACCGAAUAGGACCACGCGCUUCAUGGUGUGUGGUGGAAAGCUUUUGCGGUGUGGGAUGGGCCCGCGGCCUAUCAGCUUGUUGGUGGGGUAAUGGCCUACCAAGGCGACGACGGGUAGCCGGCCUGAGAGGGUGACCGGCCACACUGGGACUGAGAUACGGCCCAGACUCCUACGGGAGGCAGCAGUGGGGAAUAUUGCACAAUGGGCGCAAGCCUGAUGCAGCGACGCCGCGUGAGGGAUGACGGCCUUCGGGUUGUAAACCUCUUUCAAUAGGGACGAAGCGCAAGUGACGGUACCUAUAGAAGAAGCACCGGCCAACUACGUG
rnacentral:rRNA from 1 species